UACGUAGGGGGCAAGCGUUGUCCGGAUUUAUUGGGCGUAAAGAGCUCGUAGGCGGUUUGUCGCGUCGGCCGUGAAAUCUCCACGCUUAACGUGGAGCGUGCGGUCGAUACGGGCAGACUUGAGUUCGGUAGGGGAGACUGGAAUUCCUGGUGUAGCGGUGAAAUGCGCAGAUAUCAGGAGGAACACCGGUGGCGAAGGCGGGUCUCUGGGCCGAUAUUGACGCUGAGGAGCGAAAGCGUGGGGAGCGAACAGG
rnacentral:rRNA from 1 species